rnacentral:rRNA from 1 species
AGUCGACGGAGGUGCUUGCACCUCAGUGGCGAACGGGUGAGUAACACGUAUCUAACCUACCUUUUAGCGGGGGAUAACUUUUGGAAACGAAAGGUAAUACCGCAUAUUAAUAUUAUUAUCGCAUGAGAAAAUAUUCAAAGAUCCGUUUGGAUCACUAAAAGAUGGGGAUGCGGCGUAUUAGCUAGUAGGCGGGGUAAAGGCCCACCUAGGCGAUGAUACGUAGCCGAACUGAGAGGUUGAUCGGCCACAUUGGGACUGAGAUACGGCCCAGACUCCUACGGGAGGCAGCAGUAGGGAAUUUUUCACAAUGGACGAAAGUCUGAUGAAGCAAUGCCGCGUGAGUGAUGACGGCCUUCGGGUUGUAAAGCUCUGUUGUAAGGGAAGAAAAAAUUUGAGAGGAAAUGCUCUUAUCUUGACGGUACCUUACCAGAAAGCCACGGCUAACUAUGUGCCAGCAGCCGCGGUAAUACAUAGGUGGCAAGCGUUAUCCGGAUUUAUUGGGCGUAUAGGGUGCGUAGGCGGUUUUGCAAGUUUGAGGUUAAAGCCCGGAGCUCAACUCCGGUUCGCCUUGAAAACUGUGAGACUAGAAUACCAGAGAGGUAAACGGAAUUCCAUGUGUAGCGGUAAAAUGCGUAGAUAUAUGGAAGAACACCAGUGGCGAAAGCGGUUUACUGGCUGGUUAUUGACGCUGAGGCACGAAAGCGUGGGGAGCAAAUAGGAUUAGAUACCCUAGUAGUCCACGCCGUAAACGAUGAGUACUAAGUAUUGGGGAUUACCUCAGUGCUGCAGCUAACGCAUUAAGUACUCCGCCUGAGUAGUAUGCUCGCAAGAGUGAAACUCAAAGGAAUUGAC